AGUGAACGCUGGCGGUAGGCCUAACACAUGCAAGUCGAACGGCAGCACAGUAAGAGCUUGCCCUUACGGGUGGCGAGUGGCGGACGGGUGAGGAAUACAUCGGAAUCUACUUUUUCGUGGGGGAUAACGUAGGGAAACUUACGCUAAUACCGCAUACGACCUACGGGUGAAAGUAGGGGAUCUUCGGACCUUGCGCGAUUGAAUGAGCCGAUGUCGGAUUAGCUAGUUGGCGGGGUAAAGGCCCACCAAGGCGACGAUCCGUAGCUGGUCUGAGAGGAUGAUCAGCCACACUGGAACUGAGACACGGUCCAGACUCCUACGGGAGGCAGCAGUGGGGAAUAUUGGACAAUGGGCGCAAGCCUGAUCCAGCCAUACCGCGUGGGUGAAGAAGGCCUUCGGGUUGUAAAGCCCUUUUGUUGGGAAAGAAAAGCAGCAGGUUAAUACCCCGCUGUUCUGACGGUACCCAAAGAAUAAGCACCGGCUAACUUCGUG
rnacentral:rRNA from 1 species